AUUUAAAAGCCUGUAAAUGCCAAAAUUGAAGAUAAGGGCUCGUCUCUGCCUCCUCUCUGCUGCUGGCUCUGCCCUGUCGGGGCGAAAUAAGAUUCCCUCUGUCUGUUGAUGAUCUGCUCCAUCUCUUGCCCGAAGCUGUCCGAACUUCUCAGGGCGAGCUUCGAAUAAUUUGCCGAACUCGUUGGCUUGGAUGGGCUUUUGGUUUCGAAGAUUGAAUGGACCCUUGCCAGACUGACGGCCUUUGCUCCUGGGUGAAGAAGCGUGCUGACUCAAUGCCUGGAGUUGUUUUGGUGAUGCCCUCAUCACCAUGCCUUGCCUCUUCUGCUGUUGUUGUCCAAACACCCUCCGUAGCUGAUCGCUUGGGGUCUAGUCACAAAAUUAUUCGAGCCUAGUUCGUGUACGUCAUGUAAACCAGAUUUGUUGACGCUCUUGCUGGCUCAAUUGCUGUGCGCAUUGUUGACGGCACUGCUGCUGCUGUUGUUGGCCUUGUUGCCUCGAUUGGCAACUCUGUUGGCAUUGCUCAAGUUUUUGUUCGGGAUCUCUUGAUUUGUUAAUGUCUAGUUCUCCUUGCACGAGCUGCUGCAUGCACCUGUGUUGGGAGGUUAAAUUUUAGAAUGAGUGAACUAAUCAUGCAUAAAUAAGAACAUAAAUGAACAUGUUACCUGGAAAAAUACGAGAUAACUUUUAUAAUACUAAAUAUAGUGACAUAACAUAAUCCAUAUAGAUAUUUUGACAGUUCAUUUGAAUCACCUUCUUUGGCACUGUUGUUGACCACUGUCUUGCAUCUGACAACGUCUUUGGCAGAUUUGUUGACGCUCUUGCUGGCUCAAUUGCUGUGCGCAUUGUUGACGGAACUGCUGCUGCUGUUGUUGGCCUUCUUGCCUCGAUUGGCAACUCUGUUGGCAUUGCUCAAGUUUUUGUUCGGGAUCUCUUGAUGUGUUAAUGUCAAGUUGUCCUUGCUCGAGCUGCUGCAUGCACCUGUGUUGGGAGGUUAAAUUUUAGAAUGAGUGAACUAAUCAUGCAUAAAUUUGUUGACGCUCUCGUUGGCUCAAUUGCUGUGCGCAUUGUUGACGGCAUUGUUGCUGCUGUUGUUGGCCUUGUUGCCUCGAUUGGCAACUCUGUUGGCAUUGCUCAAGUUUUUGUUCGGGAUCUCUUGAUGUGUUAAUGUCUAGUUCUCCUUGCUCGAGCUGCUGCAUGCACCUGUGUUGGGAGAUUUGUUGACUCUCUCGCUGGCUCAAUUGCUGUGCGCAUUGUUGACGGCACUGCUGCUGCUGCUGUUGGCCUUGUUGCCUCGAUUGGCAACUCUGUUGGCAUUGCUCAAGUUUUUGUUCGGGAUCUCUUGAGGUGUUAAUGUCUAGUUCGUCUCCUCGCUGUUCAAAUUGCCUCUCACACCUUGUGUAGGUCAGAAGGUUCAGUUUUAGAAUAGUGGCAAUACAAAUGUUAGAUAUUGUUUUAUAAGAUCUUUUAUUAAAUAUUUGAACCUCGGUAUAAUUCAUUGUAAACAUAACUUUGAUUUAAUCUCAUGUUAUAAAUAUCAGAGCCCUAAAAUUAUUAAUCACCUCUGUUGGCAUUGUUGCU